CUCGGCCCGCCGCACGGUUGAUUCUUGGAGACGAUCGUGGUCAUUUUGGAUCGAAUCUUGUUGUUCCUUUUGUAAUGAGUUUGUGUCAUGGUUCUUUCCUGCGAGUUACAGGUGGAUUGGGACCAAGUGAUGCAUCUUAGAUGGCCACUCACAAGCUUUUAAGACCCCAGAUGCCACUCACCAAGGCAACUUUAUAAACAGAAUUUGCCUAUUCCACAAGGAAAAAACAGUGGAAGUCAUAGAAGAGAGACGGCAAAUCCAUUUUCAGAAUCAAUGAAGACAUUUCUGGAGGAUAAGACUGUACAAUCCUGACACAUCAGGAAGCCUAAUCAGUUUCACAAAAAUGCCAGAAAAAUACGUAACAACUGAAGGCACGACCAGACUCAAAAACAAAGACUGUGAAUGAGAUUAAAGCCAUGGGCCUACUAAGCACCAGCCCUGAAGUAGGAAUUCGACCGUAUAGGGUAAUGAAGUCUAAAAUUUUACUACUCAAAACGAAGGAUCAGAGCAAGUCUAUUUCAAGCCAGAGCCUGGGGUGAGGACAUCCCCGCUCCUGAAAGAAUGCUGAGGAAAAAAACUGCUGCCAACCUGCUGCCUGGGAUUACAACCUUACAGAAAACUGUGGACUUAAGUAGAAAGGAGAAUGAGGCUCUCAGCCAAGGAUGUGAAGCACUGAAAACGUCUAUACACUGCUGAGCCCUGGUAGCAUGAUGGUUAAUUGCUCUGCUGCUAACUAGGAAAGAUACCAAAUUCUGGAGUGAUUACCUCUGAAAACAGAAAAUAGGAAAUAAGUUUGCAGAGAGGUAUACAAGGGGCUCCAAAUGUAUCUAGAAUGUUUUAGAAGUAUAAUCUGAGUGAACGGCUGGGAAAAUAGUACAAUUUUAUACAGCCAGACAAUGGGUACGUGAGAUGUUUAAUAUUAACUGUAAAUAUUUCAUAGUAAAAAAGUUGAGUUAGCAUAGCAGUCACUUACCAUGUUCCUCCACAUCUUCUUCAAAUAUAACACAGGUCCCAAGAGUAUCUGCAGAGAAAUUUGAAGGCAACUUGUUCAGAAAUAACAAAGCUGCAUUCUCUGAAAGGCAUAUUAAAAAAAAAGUUAUCUAUGACACCAGCCUACCUUCAUA